CUGCAAUGAUGUUGAUCAAAUGUCUUACCUAAAAUGAGCAUGUAGACAAAUUUAAUACUGAAGGA
rnacentral:snoRNA from 12 species